rnacentral:rRNA from 1 species
AGUGAGGAAUAUUGCACAAUGGGGGAAACCCUGGAUGCAGCAACGCCGCGUGGAGGAUGACGCAUUUCGGUGUGUAAACUCCUUUUAUAUGUCAAGAAAAUGACGGUAGCAUAUGAAUAAGCACCGGCUAACUCCGUGCCAGCAGCCGCGGUAAUACGGAGGGUGCAAGCGUUACUCGGAAUCACUGGGCGUAAAGGACGCGUAGGCGGGUUGGAAAGUCAGAUGUGAAAUCCUACAGCUUAACUGUAGAACUGCAUUUGAAACUUCUAAUCUAGAGUAUGGGAGGGGGAGAUGGAAUUAGUGGUGUAGGGGUAAAAUCCGUAGAUAUCACUAGGAAUACCGAAAGCGAAGGCGAUCUCCUGGAACAUAACUGACGCUAAGGCGUGAAAGCGUGGGGAGCAAACAGGAUUAGAUACCCUGGUAGUCCACGCCCUAAACGAUGAACACUAGUCGUCGGGAUGCUAGUCAUCUCGGUGAUGCACUUAACAGAUUAAGUGUUCCGCCUGGGGAGUACGGUCGCAAGAUUAAAACUCAAAGGAAUAGACGGGGACCCGCACAAGUGGUGGAGCAUGUGGUUUAAUUCGAAGAUACGCGAAGAACCUUACCUAGCCUUGACAUUGAUUGAACACACUAGAGAUAGAGUGGUGCCCUUCGGGGAACAUGAAAACAGGUGCUGCACGGCUGUCGUCAGCUCGUGUCGUGAGAUGUUGGGUUAAGUCCCGCAACGAGCGCAACCCUCGUCCUUAGUUGCUAGCAGUUCGGCUGAGCACUCUAAGGAGACUGCCUUCGUAAGGAGGAGGAAGGUGAGGACGACGUCAAGUCAUCAUGGCCCUUAUGGCUAGGGCUACACACGUGCUACAAUGGGGCGUACAGAGUGUUGCGAUACCGCGAGGUGGAGCUAAUCACUUAAAGCGUCUCUCAGUUCGGAUUGGAGUCUGCAACUCGACUCCAUGAAGCGGGAAUCACUAGUAAUCGUAGAUCAGCAAUGCUACGGUGAAUACGU